GCCCUGUGAAAUCUCUGUGAAAUCUCUUUCUCGCUGAUCCUACACAUUUGGAAAGUGCUGUCAUGACAAUUAUUACUCACAAAGUUCUCUUGCUGAGGGAGGAUGGUCACUUGGCAUGUAUUAUUCUCCCCAUUUUACAGACAUGGAAACUGAGACCCACAGAGAUCCUGGUGGUGUAGUUUGAAGCUGCUGGAAUUCUCCAAGCUGCUCUCCCUGCCUUUUAGGCUGUUUCUCCUAGUGGUGCCGGUGACACAAAGAGCUGUUCUUAUCCUCUCCUGUCCUGAGUUAUUAUGCAAUAUUUGGAAAUGAAGGAAAGGAAACUGCUCUUGGAAACCCUGAAAUGAACACACAAUGCAUCAGAGCCAAGCCUGCAAUCACUCAAGAAAGAAUGAUUCUCGAGGCAUCGAGUCCCCCCUGGAAGUUAAUUGAAAGGCUGUCUACAGAAAAGAUGGUCAGUCCUAAGGGAGAGGUAGGUCAGUAACGAAAACACAGAAAAGGAGAGUCCUAGAGAAAACCCAGAGCCCUGACCUGGAGGAAGAGGACCUUGGUCCUAAAGCGAGCAGCCAUGUGACUGUAAGCUGGCUUCCCAAGUACUUGGUCCUCAAGGAGAGAAUGGGUGUUAUCCCCUCAGCAGUUCCAUUCUGAUGUCCACAGCUGGCUGGUAGGGUGAGUCAGCAUCCCCCCCAGCAGUCCCAUUCACCCUGGGCCACUGCUGGGACCCAGCAUUUGAACAGUAGGACAGAGGGCUGCAGGCUGGCCUAAGUCACACCACAGUGAGCUGGUCUUCCCAGGAAGCUCCCAGCCUUCCCGUUCUAUGGCACUGUCAGACUGUACCUCUUUAUUUCAAAACACAUCAGAAUACAUCAAAGCCCUGACUGUUAGGUAAGUAUUACUAUGCCCACUUUUAUAAGCAAGGAAAUAGAGAUUGCAAAGGGGUAAUUAACUUGCCCAAAGGCGCUUAACUUCAUAAACCAGCCUGGAUUCCGCACCUAUUCUGACUCUAAAGCCUGUGUUCUUUCCCUUGACUUCAUGCGGCCCCUGCCUUCAAGGACUUUCCUCUCCAGUGUAUCUUUAAGUAAGAAAGCGUGUGUGGGAGGUGAGGUGCGGGAGAGGGACGAGAAUGCUCCCCUGCCUGAAGCUCCCCUCUGUGACUAAGAACCCAGUUUGUAAUCUCUUCUUCACUUUUUUUUUUCUUUUGAGACGGCGUCUCGCUCUGUCGCCCAGGCUGGAGUGCAGUGGCGCGAUCUCGGCUCACUGCGACCUCCGCCUCCCGGGUUCAGGCAAUUCUGCCUCAGCCUCCCGAGUAGCUGGGAUUACAGGCAUGCGCCACCACACCCGGCUCAUUUUUGUAUUUUUAGUAGAGACGGGGUUUCACCGUGUUGGUCAGGCUGGUCUCGGACUCCUGACCUCGUGAUCCGCCCGCCUCAGCCUCCCAAAGUGCUGGGAUUACAGGCGUGAGCCGCCGCGCCCGGCCUCUUUUCUUCUCAUACAAGGGUAGGAUGGGGAGAGCACUAAGGGCUACCUCUGUCUCCAGCUACAUUCUCAAGUGCUCCACAAGGAGGAGUGGAGAAUGAUGUUCGGGGGACAGUGAACAGUGCCUGUCCCUCCUUUUGUUGCUCAAACUUCCACACCUGCGGUCACCCUCACUUCCCCCUAGGCGCUUCCAGGCGGGUGGAUGACUGAUGACCCUGACUCCAAGCCAGGAGGACGGGGCUAGGGCUUCAUCCCUUCCUCCCGAAUAAUACCAUCCUGUUUUAACAGCUGAUUUCCAUUCAGCUUCCACCUUAAAACACAGGACACCACCAAACCAUUGAGGCCACCUGUGUCUCUCUUCAGAAUCCUGCGGAACUCCCUCACUCUCAGAUAUUUCUGAAAUACCUACUUAUAAAAAUAGUUUUGGCCGGGCACGGUGGCUCAUGCCUGUAGUCCCAGCACUUUGGGAGGCCGAGGCGGGCAGAUCGCCUGAGGUCAGGAGUCCGAGACCAGCCUGACCAACAAGCUGAA
rnacentral:lncRNA from 10 species